GUGAGACUCAGAUCAGAAGAGUCAUUUACCGUUGACCGUGACUCACUGCUCUCAACUGAGCUGUGGACAAUGAGUUCCCAGGACUGGAAGGCGGGAGCAUAGGCUCUGUACCUCUAAGAAGCCCCAACAAGCUGAAUGGAAUUUUGACAGAUGGCAGAGGAAGCGGCAACACUUACCAGAAACUGGACUCGAACCAUCCUAUUGUUAAGAGUAUGAAGAUACUACAACUGACACCAGGCAACAUGGUUGACCAACAAUGUUAUGACCUCAUGAGCUUUCAAAGAUUGGAAGAAGCAUUAAGAGUUCCCUUAAGCCAGUACCAGCAGUAGCCAAGUCCAGUGACAAGGCAGCCCUGAAGAGUGGCCCACUUAAUCCAGUCCAUAUGAGAACCUGCAGCCAAGCCACUCUGUCCUGCAAACGAGGGAGUGACCGGCCCUGUGACUGUGCCACACCCAGAAGUGAAUUUGGUAGAGGAAAUGAUUUGUAGCAACCACUGUGAGUCCACUUUCUCCAGGGACCAAGGUAGUCAUCAGUCAGUCAGUCAGUCAGUCAGUCAGUAUCCAUUUAUUAAGCACCUAUUACAUCCCAGGCGCUAGGGAUAUAAAAAGAGGCAAAAGAUGUUCCUAAAACUGAAGGCUCUCACAAACUAAUGAUAAUGAAGGUAGUAUAGGAGAAUGUGC
rnacentral:lncRNA from 1 species